UCCAAACUGCAGUGUGUCUCUAAGGAAUGGAAACUAAACGUUGGGACAUCAUAGCUGGGGAACAGGGAUUCACAAGACCCAGGCUGUUCCCUACAUAUUUUUCCUCCUCAGACAUCAGUUCAUCAGUCAAUCAAGUCAUGUGAGAGUGGAGGCCAUGUAUUCCGUAUUCUUGGGCACUCUCCUCCAAGGAGGAAAAGGCCAGGA
rnacentral:lncRNA from 1 species